rnacentral:lncRNA from 1 species
GACAGUUCUCAAAUGAAGAAGAACAAAUGAAACAAAUAAGGGAUUUUGUGGACUUCAUUCAAAGAAACUAAAACAAGUUAACAGUAGAAAACAGUUUGAACUUCAAAAUGCAACUAUGAAUUCUACAAUCUAUGUUUUUAUCCUGCUGUAGAAAGAAUUAAUUCAAUUGAGGUCAAGGAAGAUAGCUUACUGUUGCUGUGCAGCUAAAUCAAUUUGAACUUCUGGUGGAGCCAAUGCAGGAGAUUCCACAAAGUGCAAAUUAGGAUCACUGAAAAAUUGACACAAGUAGCAAAACAUUAGUUAAAAAUUAAAUAUUUAAGUUUAAUUUUCUAUAACUUCACAUGCAGAAACUAGUGGCUCUACCCUGCAAGUUUCCUGGCCAAAUAGAGGAAAGGCUUCUCGAAAUUGUAGUUGCUCUUAGCUGAAAUCUCAUAGUACUGCAAAUUCUUCUUCCUGUGGAAAGUAACCUGCUUUGCUUUCACUUGCCUGUUCUUGACAUCAACCUUGUUACCGCAAAGAACAAUUGGGAUGUUUUCACAGACCCUGAAAAACAUGUGAGCAAAAAUUACGCAUGACACAAACAACAUGAUGCCAAUAAUUUAAGACAAAACAUUCAAAAAGUUUUCAAUGACUUCAUUUACAAACCUGCAAAGAUCACGGUGCCAGGUGGGAACAUUUUUGUAUGUUAGCCGGGCAGUAACAUCAAACAUUAUAAUAGCACAUUGCCCAUGGAUACUGCAACAUAAAACACCAUUUUACAAGCAUUAAAAGUUUGCAUCACAACAGAAUUAAAUAAAAAGCUAGCGGACAUUGCCAGUGAAACAUUAAAAAUUUCAUUACAGUUCUGAAAUUCUAGAUAUCUAACAAAAUCAUUAGUCAUCCUAAAGACUACAAAUCCAUGUAACCGACAUGCAAAACUACAACUCUAACACUGAUACUGAUAAACAUAGUGAAUCAAGCAGUUACAAUUGUUAACUGAGUAACGAAUUCCCCAUUUAAUCACCCACGCAGAAGAAGUUGAGAUUGAAAAACCAUCUUAAUCGUCAUAACAAACACAAUCUGAUACACUAAAAAAGGUGACUUACUAGUAUCCAUCUCUGAGGCCACCAAACUUCUCCUGUCCAGCAGUAUCCCAGCAGUAGAAUCGAAUCUUUCCACAGUUUGUGAAAAAAUCCAAUGGGUGAACCUCCACACCGAUGGUUGCUAUUUUGGAAAAGCAAAAAUGGAGAGAAAGAAUAAGUUUAGGUGGAACAAUAUGAACAACCUUAACCUUAAUUUAUUUAAUUAUAAAUUAUUCUUACGCUCAUAUUUCUUCUCGAAUUCUCCGGUGAGAUGCCUUUUCACAAAGGUUGUCUUUCCUGCAAAAUGUUCAAUACACCAUAAAUAUCAUAUGCCAAGGUAUAAUAACCUAGAAUUUUACAAAAGAGACAUGCCCCUUAUAAAAAAGAAUUAAUAAAGAAUAGAAGCUAAUCGCUCAAAAUAAAACGAGAAAAGGGGAAAAAAAUACAAAAAAAAAACUUACCUGUGCCACCAUCACCGACGAUAACGAGUUUGAAACUAGGGUAAUCCACGGUUUGCUGAUUGGGCAAAGCCUGCAACGCAAGAGAUCAAGAAUAAAUCGAAGGCCAACAUAAAACUGAAACAAAAAAGGAGUGUUGAAAGGAGAGAGCGUACCAUGGAAUGAAGAGUAUAGCGAUGCUGCGUUAGGUUGAAGAGAAUGGAAAGUGAUGCAGAAGAAAGAGAGAGCACACAACGAAGCGAGGGUUUAUAUUGGGAGGGUUUCAAGUUCCGUAUUUUGAAUGAACGCGUUAACCUAACGCGGCUAUAUCCACCCUUUGAUUACGCUCACUUCUCAAUUUGAAAUUCAUCCGGGCUCGGCCCAACCCUAGCCCACAUAAAUCUUCCCACCAUCACAUUUGGGAGUUGAUAUUUCCACCGUCACUUUUUGAAAAAAUAGUAGGAAUAGACAAAAAUGUUUAUCUGCAUAUUUUUCUCACUCCUUCCCCUUCCUUCUUCCCCCAUUCUUCUCACCACUGUUUCCACUUCUCCUUGCAUUUUGUUUUUGUUUUUUUAUAUACAGUGAAAAUAUGAUUUUAUUGUGUUCUGGGUUGAGAAUCACAACAGAAUUACAUUUUCGUUGUAGUUUUUGUUUUGUUUUGGAAAACACCGCAAUAGAAGUACGAUUUUGUUGUGAUUUUCAACUAAGAAUUCAACAAAAUCACACUUCCCUUGUUUUAUUUUUUUUUAUUUUGAAAAACAACAUAACAAAAGUAUGAUUUCGUGUUAUACAGUGAGGGUGAAACAAAAUCAUGAUUUUAUUGUGUUAUUUGGAGGUGGAAUCAAAUAACACAAUGAAAUUAUGAUUUCAUUGUGUUAUCUAGGGGUGAUGAAAAAUUACACAACUGACUCAUGUUUUCGUCGUGCAAUUCACGAAGGAAAAAGAUGCACAACAAUAACACAAUUUUGUUGUGUAUUCCCCUCCUCCCUCUCAAUUGUAUAAUAGAAAUAUGAUUCCAUUGUUUAAUUUUUCAGGGGAAAGUUUUAGAAUAUGGGUGAAAUGCACUCACGUGGGUAGUGUCAUUAACAAAAGUAGUAGUGUCUAUAGCAAUAUCCUCUUCAUUUUAUUAUUUAUUGGUCUAGUAUUUUGGUUCCUUGGUUCAAUGAGCUGGUUCCUUAGUCUCAUGAGAACUAUUAUUGUCACUACUAAUUUUGCUAAUGACACUAGAAAUUAGUGUGAACUUUUUCUUUUGCCCACUCAUCAAACCUUUACACCCCUUAGACUUCUCUUCACCAAAAUCCCGCGCCACCCUAUCCCCGUCCUCCAACACCAUUGCACGACCCCCCUAUGGCCAGAUCCAAAAUCUUUGCGACACCUUUCCUUACAACUUCCACUCUGUUGUGUCGCGCCACCAGCCCAGAUCCAAAAUUGCCACACCUCCGUCAUGUCAUGCUAACGUCAUCCUCCCCAUCAAGAUCUACGCAACCUUGGGCCACCAUCAAGUUUUGAGUGUUUGCAUUGUUUUGUAUUUGUGAGUGUUUUGUGUUGGUUGUGAGAAUUAUGUUUUCGUUAAGUACACAAUUUAACCUUAAUAGAAAUAUAAUUUUAUUAUACAUUGUACAAUUAAAUAAUGUACAAGAGAAUCGUAUCAUCAUUACAUUAUUUUUCUUUGUACUUGCAAGUAACAAUGAAAACAUAAUUAUAUUGUAUAUUUGUGGAAUAAAAUUGUAUUUUCGUUGUGAUUUAUUUUUUUCACAAUUUGGGAAUAUAGCUAAAAGACACCAUGGGGAUAGUGCCAAUAUCAAUACCCUAGUCUUAUUUCUUACUAUUUCAAGUAAAUUACAUAAGACAUUCUUGAAGUUUGCACUUAUUGCACAUGAUACCCUCUAUUUUGAAUUCCUACAAUAAACCUCAUUACACAGACCCCUUGACAUUUUGCCAUGUAACUACACAUUAGUUUUUUUUUUAAUAAAAAAUAUCCUCAUCUUCAUUUAACACUUGCAAACAGAGAAUUAUUUGCAAAAUACCUUAAGAACACAAGAAAAUCUGUCAGAACUUAAUUUUUGUUUUCUAUCAGAUUUUUUAUUUCACAUCAAGUAAUUACAGAUCAAAAUUCGUAAAUCAAGCUAUUUUAAAACUCUUAAGCAUCACCAGCAACAUUUACACUUACCUAAUCACGUUAAUUUUUACUUCCAAGAGAAAAAAAGAACAUUGAAAGUUACAAAUCAUAUCCUUAAAACAUGGAGAAAUUUUUUCAAAAGUUUCACAAAAGAAUUAAAUAGAAUGGAUUGGAACACCCAAUUUUGCUUCAAACAAGAUAUCAAAACUAAAAUUUUAACACAUUUCAGUCUAUAGGGUUUCUAAAAUAUACUACAAAGUAAUAAGAAAAAAUCCAAGGAAGGAAGAUUUUCAGAAAGAAACUAUUUCAUGGGUUAAAAAAAAACAGAGGAAUACAUUAACGUCAAGCAUCGUUGUCAGAAUCCGUUUUAAGCACAACUCAAAUAUGAAGCUAGAUAAAUCUCCAGACACCACAUGACGUUAUAAAGUGACCGUUUACAAGAAAACAAAGGCCAAAAUACAUAAACCAUUCACGCCAAUGGAAUGUAUACGAAUAUGUACGUAAUGUUUUCGACAUUGUUCACUGAAUAUUAAAUUGACUUCACCAAACUAGUCGUUUUAAAUAGGAGGAAAUAAGCCAAUAUCAUUUCUUGUUGGAGGGACAAACUCGAGAAGCAAAAUAGCACUUGGCACAAACAGCCUUGUUUGCUCUUUCCCCCGUGUCUCUCUGUUCAAGAGAGCCAAAUCACACAAACACACGCACUACAGCCCUUGGCCACAAGGAUAUGUCAAACUAUUGGGAGAGAUUUUUAAUUAAAGCAAAAUGAUUAAAUUUCUGAUACUCAAAUCCGCAUCCAAAAAAUGUCAACAAUACACCCCCCCAAAAUACAUAUCAUAGCAUACGCAGUAACACGACUCAGAAAAAGCACAAUUUUACUCAAAAGAUUCAUCAUCAUCGUCAGGAAGGGGCUGACUAGCAGCUGCAAGAAGCUCAGCUUCGUGUCUGCAAAAGCAACCAACAAAUAAAUUAUUGAUAAUUGAAUAGGAACAAUUCCCAAUUGAAGAAGAACAAAUGAAACACAAGGAAUUUUGUGGACUUCAUUAAAGAAACUAAACACUAAUAUGCCAUUCUAACAAAACGAAGGACUAGUUUGUUUAAACUUAUUUAUUAAAAUAUGAAUUUAUUUUAAUAAAAUAACCAAAUUUCUAUUUUUUAGUGUUUGUUCUAAAUUGUUUCUGCUAAGAAGUUUAAAGAAACAAAUACUAUCUGCUUUUUUAAAAAAUGAUUAUAUAAAAGACACUUAUUUUAAAGUUGCUUUUUUAAAGUUAAAACAAACUCACCCUAAAACAAGUUAACAUAAGAAAACAGUUUGAACUUCGAAAUGCAAUGCAACUAUGAAUUCUACAAUCUAUGUUUUUAUCCUGCUGUAGAAAGAACUAAUUCAGGUCAAGGAAGAUAGCUUACUGUUGCUGUGCAGCUAAAUCAAUUUGAACUUCUGGUGGAGCCAAUGCAGGAGAUUCCACAAAGUGCAAGUUAGGAUCACUGCAAAAUUGACACAAAUAGCAAAACAUAAGUUAGAUUAAAUAUUUAAGUUUUUCUCUAACUUAUUAUGUAAUGGCUUUACCCUGCAAGUUUCCUGGCCAAAUAGAGGAAAGGCUUCUCGAAAUUGUAGUUGCUCUUCGCUGAAAUCUCAUAAUACUGCAAAUUCUUCUUCCUGUGGAAG